CCUUCGGGGGACAAAGUGACAGGUGGUGCAUGGUUGUCGUCAGCUCGUGUCGUGAGAUGUUGGGUUAAGUCCCGCAACGAGCGCAACCCUUAAGCUUAGUUGCCAUCAUUAAGUUGGGCACUCUAAGUUGACUGCCGGUGACAAACCAGAGGAAGGUGGGGAUGACGUCAAAUCAUCAUGCCCCUUAUGAUUUGGGCUACACACGUGCUACAAUGGACAAUACAAAGGGCAGCUAAACCGCGAGGUCAAGCAAAUCCCAUAAAGUUGUUCUCAGUUCGGAUUGUAGUCUGCAACUCGACUACAUGAAGCUGGAAUCGCUAGUAAUCGUAGAUCAGCAUGCUACGGUGAAUACGUUCCCGGGUCUUGUAC
rnacentral:rRNA from 1 species